GCCCGGCUAGCUAAGUCGGUAGAGCAUGAGACUCUUAAUCUCGGUGUCGUGGGUUCGAGCCCCACGCUGGGCA
rnacentral:tRNA from 1 species